AACAAAAACAUGUCCUUUUGUUUUAUUUAUUUAAGGUUUAACCUGCCCACUGAAUUUUUUUUAUUUUAAAUGGCCGCAGUAAUUUGACUGUGCAAAGGUAGCAUAAUCAUUAGUUUUUUAAUUGAAAGCUUGUAUGAAAGGUUGGACGAAGUAUAAUCUGUCUUUAUUUAAUUUAUUGUAGAAUUUAAUUUUUGAGUUAAAAAGCUUAAAUAUUUAUAAAAGACGAGAAGACCCUAUAAAUCUUUAUAUUAUUUUAAGUUAUUUUAAUUAGGAUUAUUUAAUUUAUAAUUUUUUAUAAUAUUUUAUUGGGGUAAUAGAGUAAUUAAAUUAAUUUAUUUUGUUUUUUUACAUUUAUUUAUGGUUUUAUGAUCCAAUAAGUUUUGAUUACAAGAUUAAGUUACUUUAGGGAUAACAGCGUAAUUUUUUUAAAGAGUUCAUAUCGAUAAAAAAGUUUGCGACCUCGAUGUUG
rnacentral:rRNA from 1 species